rnacentral:rRNA from 1 species
GACGAACGCUGGCGGCGUGCUUAACACAUGCAAGUCGAACGGAAAGGCCCUGCUUUUGUGGGGUGCUCGAGUGGCGAACGGGUGAGUAACACGUGAGUAACCUGCCCUUGACUUUGGGGUAACUUCAGGAAACUGGGGCUAAUACCGGAUAGGAGCUCCUGCUGCAUGGUGGGGGUUGGAAAGUUUCGGCGGUUGGGGAUGCACUCGCGGCUUAUCAGCUUGUUGGUGGGGUAGUGACUUACCAAGGCUUUGACGGGUAGCCGGCCUGAGAGGGUGACCGGCCACAUUGGGACUGAGAUACGGCCCAGACUCCUACGGGAGGCAGCAGUGGGGAAUAUUGCACAAUGGGCGGAAGCCUGAUGCAGCAACGCCGCGUGCGGGAUGACGGCCUUCGGGUUGUAAACCGCUUUCGCCUGUGACGAAGCGUGAGUGACGGUAAUGGGUAAAGAAGCACCGGCUAACUACGUG